rnacentral:tRNA from 1 species
GCGGGUAUGGUGGAAUAGGCAGACACAAGAGACUUAAAAUCUCUCGGAGGCAACUCCGUGCCGGUUCAAGUCCGGCUACCCGCAUCA